UACGGAGGGGGCUAGCGUUGUUCGGAAUUACUGGGCGUAAAGCGUGCGUAGGCGGCUUUGUAAGUUAGAGGUGAAAGCCCGGGGCUCAACUCCGGAAUUGCCUUUAAGACUGCAUCGCUUGAAUCAUGGAGAGGUGAGUGGAAUUCCGAGUGUAGAGGUGAAAUUCGUAGAUAUUCGGAAGAACACCAGUGGCGAAGGCGACUCACUGGACAUGUAUUGACGCUGAGGUACGAAAGCGUGGGGAGCAAACAGG
rnacentral:rRNA from 1 species